rnacentral:rRNA from 1 species
ACGGGUGAGUAACACGUGGGCAACCUGCCCUUGAGACUGGGAUAACUUCGGGAAACCGGAGCUAAUACCGGAUAAUAUAAGGAACCUCCUGGUUCCUUGUUGAAAGAUGGUUUCGGCUAUCACUUAAGGAUGGGCCCGCGGCGCAUUAGCUAGUUGGUGAGGUAACGGCUCACCAAGGCGACGAUGCGUAGCCGACCUGAGAGGGUGAUCGGCCACACUGGGACUGAGACACGGCCCAGACUCCUACGGGAGGCAGUAGUAGGGAAUCUUCCACAAUGGACGAAAGUCUGAUGGAGCAACGCCGCGUGAGUGAUGAAGGCCUUCGGGUCGUAAAGCUCUGUUGUUAGGGAAGAACAAGUGCGAGAGUAACUGCUCGUACCUUGACGGUACCUAACCAGAAAGCCACGGCUAACUACGUGCCAGCAGCCGCGGUAAUACGUAGGUGGCAAGCGUUAUCCGGAAUUAUUGGGCGUAAAGCGCGCGCAGGUGGUUUCUUAAGUCUGAUGUGAAAGCCCAUGGCUCAACCGUGGAGGGUCAUUGGAAACUGGGGAACUUGAGUGCAGAAGAGGAAAGUGGAAUUC